CGCGUACGGGGCCGAGUCCUGGCGGCUUGGAACAGCGUCAAAUACGGCUGGACGCUGCGGCCGCGGCCCCACUUCAGCCCGCGGGACCCCCUGUACCUGCUGGGGAGGGUCUAUGAACCGGGGAACGGGGAGGAGCUGGCCCGGUUCCGCUGGGAUUUCUGCUCCCGCCUGUGGCUCACGUACCGCAGCGGGUUCCCAGCGCUGCCCGGGACCCCGCCCCG